GCCCAGACUCCUACAGGAGGCAGCAGUGGGGAAUAUUGCACAAUGGGGGGAACCCUGAUGCAGCGACGCCGCGUGGGUGAAGGAGUACUUCGGUACGUAAAGCCCUAUCAGCAGGAAAGAAAAUGACGGUACCUGACUAGGAAGCCCCGGCUAACUACGUGCCAGCAGCCGCGGUAAUACGUAGGGGGCAAGCGUUAUCCGGAUUUACUGGGUGUAAAGGGGGCGCAGACGGCGAUGCAAGCCAGGAGUGAAAGCCCGGGGCCCAACCCCGGGACUGCUCUUGGAACUGCGUGGCUGGAGUGCAGGAGGGGCAGGCGGAAUUCCUGGUGUAGCGGUGAAAUGCGUAGAUAUCAGGAGGAACACCGGCGGCGAAGGCGGCCUGCUGGACCGUGACUGACGUUGAGGCUCGAGAGCGUGGGGAGCAAACAGGAUUAGAUACCCCCGUAUGG
rnacentral:rRNA from 1 species